CCUCCUCCCAUUCUUUCUUCCCAGACGCGGCAACUACCCCCAUCCUCUUCCUCUUCCCCUUCCCCUUCGUCUUCUCCCGCGGAUAAGAACAGCCGCCUUCCUAUCUCACCCCCUUCCCAUUCCACCACAGAAAGCGCUCUCCAUUCCCAACGCCGGGAGCGCGUCAAGGCCUCUGUCCUCUCAAGGGCGCGCGCGGGCGCAGAUAGCCACUUCACCUGACCCGGCGUCGUCGUCGUCGCAACAGUCAAGAACACCGCGUCCAAGAUGCCCCGGCUCCGGUGGUUAGACGGCCUACGCAGAACCGCCGAGUCCCCUUGGUAACGGCUGUCUCCACCAUCUCGCCCUCUCCCCUCUCAUCGUCUCUUCUCUUGUCGCUGAUCCUCCAGUUCUCCAAUCGCUCCUCUCCAUCAAGGCCCCUUGCAAAUCCAAGAACCAUCAAGGCCCACGGUAGCCACCACACCGCCUCCUUCAUGUUCGAGCCGUGCCGUAAGUAACAAAUUGCUCCCCGUCUCUCUCCCGGAUAACGAGCACUCUGGCAUACCGCAUGAGUGACGUGUCGUCUUCCGCAUGCCAUCAUCUGAUAUUUUUGAAGGAUAUGCAAAGGCCUCAGUAGCAUUGGGGGCACUGGAAAAUUGGAUUACCAUCUUGUUCCCCCCGUUAUGCUGUACAUCUGCCAAUAUGAACUUCUUGUACACUUGUUCCUAUAAUAGGUCCCUCAUCAACCAAGUUGACGGUUGUUCUCAGUUUUCUGCAGAUGAUCUAGGACUCUUUCAGUUUGCUAUUUCUGCUAGCGCUUUAUGUGCUCUGUGCCGGCCAUCAGGCCAAGGCUUGAUUUGUCUCUAGCUGUGCAUUGUCCACUAGUAAUUACUAUAAACACACCGAGAGCUGCAGCUUAUGCUGUUUGUAAGCCCUGUUCUUAUCCUUUUAAAACUAACCAACAUGUUCUACAUCAGUCUUGCCACUCCACGUAUUUUUUAUUUAUGUUUUGGUACUUAUAUGCCAAUCUUAUUCUGUUAGCAGAUAGGUAGCUGCUGUUCUUUAGUUUCAGCAUCUGCCCUAGUCCUUUUCAGUGGGUUGUCAUUUGGAAUUUCUCUGUAUGGUUAUUUCUUGGUCAUACAAUACUGGAAAUGAUGAAGACUGUUGAAAACCAAGGUUUGCUUGAUUGACUUAUGCUGUCUAAGCCAUGAUGAUCGCGGACUGUGUACAUUUGAUGGAUACUCUAUUAUUAUUUACUCUGACGUGGUAUUUGUGGUAUUUGCUUGUUGCUGCUGCAUUUUCUAUAUACUUAUAUAUUAAUAAAAAUCCAGCAUUUGCAUACAUAUUAUAUUUGCAUAACAUACUGUUGCAUGGCUGGACUCAAUUUAGAGAAAGCCACAUUGAUGUGUAUGGCCAUUAGUCACUGAUUCUAGUUAGAAUAUUUAGCCUUUAGAGCUAACUUAGAUAAAUAUGUUUUAAGAGAUACUAGUAGUAUUUUCCUGGAAUUUAGGAUGACCGUAGCUUUCCAUUCACUUGCUAGUCAUGAUAGGACCGAUAGCCUUGAAUCCCUGCAAGAAAAAUAAAUUACAUUCUAAAGAAUCUACCAGUGGUGCAUUUCACCAUUUCAUUGUUGCUUGAUUGAUCUUAUACAAUGUAGACACUGAUUAGCUUUGUUUUCUUAUAGGUGCUUUGCCCUGUAAGAUAAAAUAUCUUCCCAGUGUUUCUUGUUUUAAACAUCAUAUUUGCAGCUCUCUGGUGGUAUUAACUUGAUUAGAUUAGCAUCUGUUGCUUGCAAUAUUAAGUUUUAUAACUGGAAAACGUCAACAACCAAUCAACCAGUGAAUAGAAAUAACUUUGCAAAGUUUUGUUCAGAUAUGCAAUUCCUGUGCAGAAAACCAACCGUCUCUUAGUGCUAUUUUUUUUGUGUGUACUUAUGCUCCAUGCCUCCAUCUCACAUUUCUGUUUUACCGAGUAAAUAGUCUCUAUUCUGGUGAGUGGUAACGCGCUUAAGUUUCAUGCAUGUCUCGUAUAUAUGAAUUCCUAGUGCAUCUUUGUUCUUGCAUUCUUCUUUACUAGAGCUCCUGAAAUUUCCUCUUGUAGAUUAAAAACACAAAGGUAAAUGAAACUGAGAAUCCUACAGAUGAAUCAUAGAACCUAUGGACAAUGUUGAUGCAACGCUUCAAAGUUGCGUCACCAAGUGACUGCUGAAAGACUUCUGUAAGUUCUACAUGCUUCAAAAUUUUGACUGCAGUAUGUACUCUGUGAGGCCGAAUGCAUAUAAUUUUUUUUAUGUCCUUGUUAAGUGCCAUUCUAGUACAGCUAACCGGCCCCUGCCUCAUGACUUCAUAGCCAAAGUUCUCACUGGAGUAUGCAGUUUGAAAUCCUGCAUCUACAACCAAAAUGCUCACUGAGCUCCAUCUAAUUUCAGUUUUAGGUUGUGACGGCGAGAAAUCAUAAUUUUACUGCAUCUUGUGCUGCAGCUAUAUUUAUUCAUACUAGUCAUUGAUAUUGUAUCGUGCUAUUCUCAGCUGUAUGUGCUAACUAAUAACUAAAUGUUGUUCCUAACUAAGGUCUUUGCCUCUAUCCCUAAGAUUUUACACUUAGCGAGUUCCCAUGCUAACUAAUUUGUAGGAGUGGGGAGUUAAUCCUACUUAGAUCCCUUCAAGUCCAUUUUCUUCUAAGAAGUUGGCAAUUGGAUCAGAGUCAUUGAAUUCUUAUUUUCUUGUGCAUGCGAUUGCCAUUAUUAGGCCUCUGGAUUCUGAGUUUAUCAUACUGCCGGUAGUGUCCCCAAAAAGUUGCUCUUAAUGCUGGGAUGAUACAGGCCCUUAUGGCCUAAGAUGAAGGAAAUGGAAUACCUGCUCUAUCAACUUUUACAUCUCUGUGAUAUUAACAAUUAUGUGUUUGUUAUCUAGCCUGCUUUUGCAAGUUCUGGGAAACUGUAAUGCUCGUUGCAGGCUUGAUGUAUAUUUCCUAUGAUUAUUUUCUCAAGAGGGACUCACAAAGGACAACCAAGCCGUUCAUGGCGUACGCGGAGGUUGCUGCUGAUCCUUUUUUUUUUCUCGAACAUGCCGAGCGGCGUGUCUUUUCCAUUAAGAAGAAAGCGCAAGAAGUGCAAGUACAGGCAACAGCAAAAACCCCUGCAGGGGCCAAAAGGAAAACAAAGAAAAUAGAAAAAGAAGAAACGGAGAAGAAGAAAAAAAGGCCUUGGCAACUAUACAAGGAGAGGGAGAGGUCCAACUGCUGAUCCUUUUGUGUCCAUGUCGAUGCUCUUUUUGGGAGACACAGUAAACUGACCCCACCAUGAGAAUGAAGCCCAUCGGAAGAAGCUAAGCCAGACCUGAUGGGUCCAUGAACAUUCUGCAAGUGGGUGCUUGGCCGUCUCCUGAUGCUGUGCACAAGGGCGCACGACAUGGUUGUGCAGAUGGUGGCUGGUUGAGGUGAUCUACAGUCCAACAGUCAGUGUUGUCUGGCCAAUCAGACAACAAACCGGCAUUUUGGGUCCCUGAAAUUUGAGUCUAAAAUAUUUUUCCAUCAAAUGUAUGUGGAAUUUAUCGCAUCCCACCUUUUCCUUCCACCUAGAAAACCAGAAAAAUCCAUCCCUCGUAGAAACAAAUUAACUGAAAAAUGACUUUUAUUUCUAACCGGCCUCUAACCAGAAAACAUGCACCUUCAACAAACAAAUUUUGUUUUUGUGCGAACUGCUUCACACUCUUAAAAGUUCCUUUAUAUGGUUCGCCAUCAUCCUCUGCUCUCCCAGUUUUCCCAGUCACUACCAUCCAACGUGGCUGCAGUAGACUCCGCUGUCGGACUCUUGGACCUAUCCUCUUCUCCACCGUCCAGUGUGGUCCCCUCUCUAAAUCCAGGUGUUGCUAAAUUUGACCAAAAGCAGCAUCAUAGGUGAGCAAUGAUGCAGACCAGGUUUGAUGGCAUGGCUGUAGCAGAGCUCAACUUGGUGCUGUCUUGGAGCUGUGUUCAUGGAGUAGGCCUAGCCCAGAGUCAGCUCCCUGUGUACCGGAGUAAUAUGAUUUUUUCAAUCCUUGGAUGGACCAUAGCGAUGUGCGUUUAUUCAGCAGUAGGGUAAAUAAAAAUUCAACUAGCAAUAGGGCAAAACAUGGAAAAGUGUAAAAUUGUUUUAUUUCAUUAAGGACACUUCGGGAGCUGAGUUUGAAUGUUGCCAGCAGUAAUGCUGGUUGUUAGGUUUCAGGUUGCAGCUCUAGGAUGAUUGGCUUGCUUUAUCUGUUAUAAUAAUUGUGAUUUUUGGCCAUUGCAUUUGAGUAAUUUAAAGGGGGAUGCCAUCUUUUUAUCUCAUCAUUUGACUAGGAAGACUGGAUAAUAAAAAAUUGCAGCUACACUGUAUUGGGGUCUUGCUAAAUUCCAUCGAAGGUGCUGCACCAUACGUUGGGGACAAGAUUUCUCUCUUUUUAAACCUUGUUAACGAUCUCCGACAACCAAGGUGAAGACUACUUAACACUGAUGAUUCUAUCUGACCAUCUAAUAACUUUAUUUGGCAGCAUCCUUAUUUUAAUCUGAUACAGUGAUGAUUCCUUAUUUAUCGUGUAAUCAUGUUCAAGCUGCCUAGACUUCUUUGGAUCUUUUAAUGGGACUAUAUUCUCUUUUCCUUCAGAGGACUUGCCAUCUGUCUCACCAGCAGCAGUACUGCAGUAGCUGUAGUAGUGGCAGUUGCCUGAAAAGCUUUGAUGCAUUAGAUUGAUAACAAAUGGUUCUUUGGUUAAAACCAUUUUCGUCUGUGGUAGAUUCGUAUAGCCGUUAUUCUGCUGACUAUGGUACUCACUGUUAGGAUAAAUUUGCUGAUCUAGAAUUUGUUUUACAAUGACCUGAGAAGCUCGUUUUUCCAUGAUCGAAUCAUCUUCUCACAAGUAGAAAUAACAAAUACUGAAAUUUAUUGCAUAGUUUCUUUUCUGAAUCCUGUUAUUGCUGCUUAAACUAAUGUUCAUACUUGAUUUAAGCUAUCCAUCCUUUGGUUAACUCCAUAUUCAUUUUAUGGAGUAGUUACGAAUCUUACGAUAAUCAUUGUACAUGAGAUUUUUACUCGUAAGGACCCGAUGCCGUCUUCUGGAUGACGAGGAGGAAGAAGAUGAAGAUGAUCAGGGAAGAUGAUGAGAAAGAUAGUGAAUUACCAUGCGGAUCAUACAGUAGUGAUUAGCACUACUAUGCCAGGCAACUGAUUAGAUUAGAAUGGGAAUGAUAUGUUGUUCUGCUGAUUCACGAAAUGAUUUGUAGUUCUUGCACAUUAGACAUAAUAGUUGAGACUUAUUGUGACUCUCAGAUGAUCCUAAAAACUUAAGCAUUAUGCUUCGGUAUUUUGAGAUUAUGUCAUGAGUGUGCUCUGUAAUAUUCACUAAAUGAUUAUGUCAUCAGAUGGAAUCCAAAGUGCAGAUCUUGCCAUAUAUUCAUUUAUAUGUAACCCAUUUAAAUUA